rnacentral:rRNA from 1 species
AUUGAACGCUGGCGGCAGGCCUAACACAUGCAAGUCGAACGGUAACAGGAAGCAGCUUGCUGCUUUGCUGACGAGUGGCGGACGGGUGAGUAAUGUCUGGGAAACUGCCUGAUGGAGGGGGAUAACUACUGGAAACGGUAGCUAAUACCGCAUAACGUCGCAAGACCAAAGAGGGGGACCUUCGGGCCUCUUGCCAUCGGAUGUGCCCAGAUGGGAUUAGCUAGUGGGUGGGGUAACGGCUCACCUAGGCGACGAUCCCUAGCUGGUCUGAGAGGAUGACCAGCCACACUGGAACUGAGACACGGUCCAGACUCCUACGGGAGGCAGCAGUGGGGAAUAUUGCACAAUGGGCGCAAGCCUGAUGCAGCCAUGCCGCGUGUAUGAAGAAGGCCUUCGGGUUGUAAAGUACUUUCAGCGGGGAGGAAGGGAGUAAAGUUAAUACCUUUGCUCAUUGACGUUACCCGCAGAAGAAGCACCGGCUAACUCCGUG